rnacentral:rRNA from 1 species
GACGGGGGAUGCAAGUGUUAUCCGGAAUCACUGGGCGUAAAGCGUCUGUAGGUGGUUACAUAAGUCAACUGUUAAAUCUUGAGGCUUAACCUCAAAAUCGCAGUCGAAACUGUUUGACUAGAGUAUAGUAGGGGUAAAGGGAAUUUCCAGUGGAGCGGUGAAAUGCGUAGAUAUUGGAAAGAACACCGAUGGCGAAGGCACUUUACUGGGCUAUUACUAACACUGAGAGACGAAAGCUAGGGUAGCAAAUGGG